ACUGUUUCGGCUAGGGGGCCAUCCCGGCUUACCAACCCGAUGCAAACUGCGAAUACCGGAGAAUGUUAUCACGGGAGACACACGGCGGGUGCUAACGUCCGUCGUGAAGAGGGAAACAACCCAGACCGCCAGCUAAGGUCCCAAAGUCAUGGUUAAGUGGGAAACGAUGUGGGAAGGCCCAGACAGCCAGGAUGUUGGCUUAGAAGCAGCCAUCAUUUAAAGAAAGCGUAAUAGCUCACUGGUCGAGUCGGCCUGCGCGGAAGAUGUAACGGGGCUAAACCAUGCACCGAAGCUGCGGCAGCGACACUGUGUGUUGUUGGGUAGGGGAGCGUUCUGUAAGCCUGUGAAGGUGUGUCGUGAGGCAUGCUGGAGGUAUCAGAAGUGCGAAUGCUGACAUAAGUAACGAUAAAGCGGGUGAAAAGCCCGCUCGCCGGAAGACCAAGGGUUCCUGUCCAACGUUAAUCGGGGCAGGGUGAGUCGACCCCUAAGGCGAGGCCGAAAGGCGUAGUCGAUGGGAAACGGGUUAAUAUUCCCGUACUUGGUGUUACUGCGAAGGGGGGACGGAGAAGGCUAUGUUGGCCGGG
rnacentral:rRNA from 1 species